rnacentral:sRNA from 1 species
AAUACGCUUAAUUUUCGAUGAGUAAAGUCGAAAAGCGGGGGAACCACUUUUUGGGGCGAAUCGUUGCUAGUACUAACGUAGGGAACCAUCUUUCCCGAGCCCGUCAGCUAACCUCGUUUGCAG